rnacentral:rRNA from 1 species
UACGAAGGGGGCUAGCGUUGCUCGGAAUCACUGGGCGUAAAGCGCACGUAGGCGGCUUGCUAAGUCAGGGGUGAAAUCCUGGAGCUCAACUCCAGAACUGCCUUUGAUACUGGCGACCUUGAGUCCGGGAGAGGUGAGUGGAACUGCGAGUGUAGAGGUGAAAUUCGUAGAUAUUCGCAAGAACACCAGUGGCGAAGGCGACUACCUGGCCUGUUAUUGACGCUGAGGCGCGAAAGCUAGGGGAGCAAACGGG